GCUUAGGUGGCGGAAUUGGUAUACGCGCAGCACUUAAAAUGCUGUCCUCUUAAUGGGGAUGCGGGUUCGACUCCCGCCCUAAGCA
rnacentral:tRNA from 2 species